GGAGGAAAGCAGGGGAUCGCAAGACCUCGCGCUAUUAGAGUGGCCGAUGUCCGAUUAGCUAGUUGGUGGGGUAAAGGCCCACCAAGGCGACGAUCGGUAGCUGGUCUGAGAGGAUGAUCAGCCACACUGGGACUGAGACACGGCCCAGACUCCUACGGGAGGCAGCAGUGGGGAAUUUUGGACAAUGGGCGCAAGCCUGAUCCAGCCAUGCCGCGUGAGUGAAGAAGGCCUUCGGGUUGUAAAGCUCUUUCGGCCGGAACGAAAUCGUCCGGGCUAAUACCUCGGAUGGAUGACGGUACUGGAAGAAGAAGCACCGGCUAACUACGUGCCAGCAGCCGCGGUAAUACGUAGGGUGCAGGCGUUAAUCGGAAUUACUGGGCGUAAAGCGUGCGCAGGCGGCUUCCUAAGUCAGAUGUGAAAUCCCCGGGCUUAACCUGGGAACUGCGUUUGAAACUACAAAGCUAG
rnacentral:rRNA from 1 species